rnacentral:rRNA from 1 species
CCUACGGGUGGCAGCAGUGAGGAAUAUUGGUCAAUGGGCGCGAGCCUGAACCAGCCAAGUAGCGUGAAGGAUGACUGCCCUCCGGGUUGUAAACUUCUUUUAUAAAGGAAUAAAGUGAGGCACGUGUGCCUUUUUGUCUGUCCUUCAUGAAUCCGGAUCGGCUAACUCCGUGCCAGCAGCCGCGGUAAUACGGAGGAUCCGAGCGUUAUCCGGAUGUAUUGGGUUUAAAGGGAGCGUAGAUGGGUUGUUAAGUCAGUUGUGAAAGUUUGCGGCUCAACCGUAAGAUUGCAAUUGAUACUGGCAGGCUUGAGUACAGUUGGGGUAGGCGGAAUUCGUGGUGUAGCGGUGAAAUGCUUAGAUAUCACGAAGAACACCGAUUGCGAAGGCAGCUUACUAAACUGCCACUGACAUUGAUGCUCGAAAGUGUGGGUAUCAAACAGGAUUAGAUACCCCUGUAGUC